UAAUGACAGACCUAAUGAAAGAAAUAGAUCUGAAGCCAUUACAUUCGAAAAACAAGAUUCUCCUCUACAGUCGCUACGUUCUUUCAAAACUCUCAUGGCAUUUCACUAUAACAUCAAUUCAAAAAACGUGGAUUUCGGAAAACCUGGACUCAGUUUUCAAACAAUACAUUCGUAAGUGGCUUGAGGUACCUAUUUCUGGAUCACUUAGUAACAUUUACCUAACUAGUAACAAAUUUGGUCUGAACAUUAUCCCCCCAUCAACUAAAUUCAUACAAUGUCAAACAACUAUCCGCAGUGCUUUGAAGUCAUCUCCUAAUGAAUCAAUAAUCCACCUCUGGAAAUCGACCUGUAAUCAUACUAAUACCCAAUAUGAUCAGUAUACGUCGACAAAAGAAGUAAUCAAGUCAUUCCGUGAAGUUCAUGAAGAUAAAUUGGAAAAUCGGUUAAAAUGUCA